rnacentral:rRNA from 1 species
GCGGCGUGCCUAAUACAUGCAAGUCGAACGUCUUCUUUUUCCACCGGAGCUUGCUCCACCGGAAAAAGAGGAGUGGCGAACGGGUGAGUAACACGUGGGUAACCUGCCCAUCAGAAGGGGAUAACACUUGGAAACAGGUGCUAAUACCGUAUAACAAUCGAAACCGCAUGGUUUUGAUUUGAAAGGCGCUUUCGGGUGUCGCUGAUGGAUGGACCCGCGGUGCAUUAGCUAGUUGGUGAGGUAACGGCUCACCAAGGCGACGAUGCAUAGCCGACCUGAGAGGGUGAUCGGCCACAUUGGGACUGAGACACGGCCCAAACCUCCUACGGGAGGCAGCAGUAGGGAAUCUUCGGCAAUGGACGAAAGUCUGACCGAGCAACCGCCGCCGUGAGUGAAGAAGGUUUUCGGAUCGUAAAACUCUGUUGGUUAGAGAAGAACCAGGAUGAGAGUACUG